AUGGCAAUGGGAGGAGGAUCACAUUUGCAGGGGCACCGGGCGCCGAGGCUGUUCAGCAGGGAAAGGCCGAUCCAUGCCGCCUUGGGUGGACGCGAAGGUGGCUAG
rnacentral:rRNA from 1 species